rnacentral:rRNA from 1 species
GCUCCAAUAGCGUAUAUUAAAGUUGUUGCGUCUAAAAAGCUCGUAGUUUGAAAACUUGCCUUGGCUUACAACAGACGUCUAAGGGCGUCACCGUUUGUCGAGAGCAAAUAUGGGUGACUGUUCUUGCCUUCUUCACUGAUUGGCUCGUAAAAGUCAUCGAAGAUCACUUUGAUUAAGUUAGGGUGCUCAAAGCAAGUGUGCUACUUGAAUAUGAAUGCAUGGAAUGAUGGAAUAUGUUGUUGUUCUAUUUGUUGGUUUUUUGAAUGACGAAGUGAUUGAAAGGAACUGUUGGGGGCAUUCGUAUUGUUGUGAGAGAGGUGAAAUUCUUAGACCAUAGCAAGACGAACUACUGCGAAAGCAUUUGCCAAGAAUGUUUUCAUUGAUCAAGAACGAAAGUUAGAGGUUCGAAGGCGAUCAGAUACCGCCCUAGUUCUAACCAUAAACUAUGCCGACUAGCAAUUUGCUUUGUAUUUUUAUGACUAAGUGAGAGGCCACGGGAAACCAAAGUAGGGUAUGGGGGAAGUAUGGUUGCAAAGCUGAAACUUAAAGGAAUUGACGGAAGGGCACCACCAGGAGUGGAGCCUGCGGCUUAAUUUGACCCAACACGGGAAAACUUACCUGGUCCUGACACUAGAAGGAUUGACAGAUUGAUAGCUCUUUCUUGAUUUGGUGGAUGGUGGUGCAUGGCCGUUCUUAGUUGGUGGAGUGAUUUGUCUGGUUAAUUCCGAUAACGAACGAGACUCUAGCCUAUUAAAUAAUAUGCGGAAUCAAUUUCUCCCGCGUUAUUUCUUAAUGGGAUCAAGCGUGUUUAACGCUUUGAAACAGAGCAAUAACAGGUCUGUGAUGCCCUUAGAUGUUCGGGGCUGCACGCGCGCUACAUUGAAGAACAAAGUGAGCCCUCUGGCUUUUAACAAAGCUAGAAAUCUUUUAAUGUUCUUCUUAAUGGGGAUAGGGGAUUGCAAUUGUGCCCCUUGAACGAGGAAUUCCCAGUAAGUGCUAGUCAUUAGCUAGUACUGAUUACGUCCCUGCCCUUUGUACACACCGCCCGUCGCUACUACCGAUUGAAUAGUUUAGUGAGAUCACCUGAGUGUUUGUAUGUGCAUUCUGUGCUUGUAUGGUGUACGAAGAAGAUCAAACUUGAUUAUUUAGAGGAAGUAAAAGUCGUAACAAGGUUUCCGUAGGUGAACCUGCGGAAG